GGUGAACGCUGGCGGCGUGCUUAAGACAUGCAAGUCGAACGGCAGUCUUCGGACUGUAGUGGCGCGCGGGUGAGUAACGCGUAACUGACCUACCCCAAAGUCGCGGAUAACGAUUCGAAAGAAUCGCUAAUACGUGAUGUGCUGUCAGAUUGUGUUCUGCCAGUAAAGAUUGAUUGCUUUGGGAUGGGGUUGCGUUCCAUCAGCUAGUUGGUGGGGUAAAGGCCCACCAAGGCGACGACGGAUAGCCGGCCUGGGAGGGUGGCCGGCCACAGGGGCACUGAGACACGGGUGCCAGUCCUGCGGGAGGCAGCAGUUAGGAAUCUUCCACCAUGGGCGAAAGCCUGAUGGAGCGACGCCGCGUGAGGGAUGAAGGUCUUCGGAUCGUAAACCUCUGAAUCAGGGACGAAAGACACUUCGGUGGGAUGACGGUACCUGAGUAAUAGCACCGGCUAACUCCGUGCCAGCCGCCGCAGUAACAC
rnacentral:rRNA from 1 species